CUUCAGCUGGGUUAAUCCCCAAAGAACCAGUGUUUCCUAGAAAGAGCAGUUCAUUCCAUACCUUGCUCUUGUAGUCCUAAUGGCCAUGUCGACAUACCCAGCUGUGACAAGAUGAAGGACCACGAUUUGGGACUCUUCAGGGACAGACUUGGCCACCUGGUGAUGUGCCACCUUCAGCAGCUCUGUCUUCACACGUCCAGCCUGCGCCUGCUUCAUGUAGUACACAAGACUGCUCUGGUACACCACGACCAUGACCUUCACAUGAGGCCAGUCUCCCCGCCCCUCACCUGGGCCAUAGAAAAAGGAUGCUGCUGUGAAGAUGUAAUGGGUGGAGCCUCAGCAGCCAUCUUGUGACUAUGAGACCAUAAGCAGGAAGACCCAAGGCAACCACAGGGAAUGGUGGAACAAAGGAAUGGACAGAGCCCAGGGCUUUGAGAGCGCAUUCACUCACUGCCCCAUGCCUAAAGUCACCAACUCUCAGACCUCCUGUCUUGUGAUGAGAUGCCUUUAUCGCUAAAACUACUCUCAGUCCAGGCUGCCACCUGCACCCAGAUGCAACGUAGCUGAAAUAAAAGGCGUGAUGGUAUAUAUCCCCCUAAGGCUAAGAGGCCCUAGCAGCCAGGGCUCAGCCUUUCCAGGGUCUGUGUUUCAUAAAAUAGCCCUGAAGGAUGUCA
rnacentral:lncRNA from 10 species